rnacentral:rRNA from 1 species
ACGGGGUGAAAAGCAGGGGACCGCAAGGCCUUGCGUCGAUGGAGCGGCCGAUGCCGGAUUAGCUAGUUGGUGGUAAGGAACGCUACCAAGGCGACGAUCCGUAGCUGGUCUGGGAGGACGACCAGCCCACACUGGGACUGAGACACGGCCCAGACUCCUACGGGAGGCAGCAGUGGGGAAUCUUGGACAAUGGGCGCAAGCCUGAUCCAGCAAUGCCGCGUGUGGGAAGAAGGCCUUCGGGUUGUAAACCACUUUUGGCAGGAAAGAAAUCGUCCGUGCUAAUACCAUGGAUGGAUGACGGUACCUGCAGAAUAAGCACCGGCUAACUACGUG